CAANGUAUGCUUUGGAAACUGUUAGACUNGAGUGCAGAAGGGGAGAGUGGANUUCCAUGUGUAGCGGUGAAAUGCGUAGAUAUAUGGAGGAACACCGGUGGCGAAAGCGGCUCUCUGGUCUGUCACUGACGCUGAGGCUNGAAAGCGUGGGUAGCGAACAGGAUUAGAUACCCUGGUAGUNCACGCCGUAAACGCUGAGUGCUAGGUGUUAGGUCCUUUCCGGGACUUAGUGCCGACGCUAACGCAUUAAGCACUCCGCCUGGGGAGUACGACCGCAAGGUUGAAACUCAAAGGAAUUGACGGGGGCCCGCACAAGCGGUGGAGCAUGUGGUUUAAUUCGAAGCAACGCGAAGAACCUUACCAGGUCUUGACAUCCCGAUGCCCGCUCUAGAGAUAGAGUUUUUCUUCGGAACAUCGGAGACAGGUGGUGCAUGGUUGUCGUCAGCUCGUGUCGUGAGAUGUUGGGUUAAGUCCCGCAACGAGCGCAACCCUUAUUGUUAGUUGCCAUCAUUAAGUUGGGCACUCUAGCGAGACUGCCGGUAAUAAACCGGAGGAAGGUGGGGAUGACGUCAAAUCAUCAUGCCCCUUAUGACCUGGGCUACACACGUGCUACAAUGGUUGGUACAACGAGUCGCAAGCCGGUGACGGCAAGCUAAUCUCUGAAAGCCAAUCUCAGUUCGGAUUGUAGGCUGCAACU
rnacentral:rRNA from 1 species